AGCACCUUCACUGUUGGGCAUGAAUGCCUCACCACAGGAGAGAAGGCAAGAGCCUGCAAGGGAGAUGGGUGGCAAAGAAAGAAAAAAAAUAAGGGAAAAGCAACAAUUACAGUUACAUUGUGCAGCUGCCAGAAAGGCUGAUGGGCAGAAGGUAUCUCUGCUCUGCUUCAAGAGUGCACACCCUGUGCAGAACCAGAGAAAGGUUUCAGAGUCCAGCAGGAUGCUCCAUUAAAAAAUAAGGUGAACCAAACCAACACUAAAUUUGACAUGUCUGCAACUUGACAGAAUUAUUGUGCAAGAGAGAGGCUUCUCAGGUGCAUCUGGCUUUUUGCACAGAGCCAUGCAAGGACAUGCCCUGUGGCUGUGCCUGGGAGCUGAGGACACAUGGCAGCCCAUACACAGCCACUGGGCCAUUACAGGCAUCAGAAGGACUCAAUUCAUAGAAAUACACCUGCAAGAGUCUUCCUGGACAAGAUGUCUAGGCACGUUAAAGAUGAUGCAUCUUCCACAGCUAUCAGGGAGUUACACUGCUCAUGUGGAAAAUAUCUUCGUAAAAGCAACAAUCCCCAGUGCA